rnacentral:rRNA from 1 species
UACAGAGGUCCCAAGCGUUGUUCGGAUUUACUGGGCGUAAAGAGCGCGCAGGCGGUUGGGUAAGUCGAAUGUGAAAGCCCCCGGCUCAACUGGGGAGGGUCAUUCGAUACUGUCCGACUCGAAGGCAGGAGAGGGAAGCGGAAUUCCCGGUGUAGUGGUGAAAUGCGUAGAUAUCGGGAGGAACACCAGUGGCGAAGGCGGCUUUCUGGCCUGUUCUUGACGCUGAGGCGCGAAAGCCAGGGGAGCAAACGGG